CUACGUGCCAGCAGCCGCGGUAAUACGGAGGGUGCGAGCGUUAAUCGGAAUAACUGGGCGUAAAGGGCACGCAGGCGGUUAUUUAAGUGAGGUGUGAAAGCCCCGGGCUUAACCUGGGAAUUGCAUUUCAGACUGGGUAACUAGAGUACUUUAGGGAGGGGUAGAAUUCCACGUGUAGCGGUGAAAUGCGUAGAGAUGUGGAGGAAUACCGAAGGCGAAGGCAGCCCCCUGGGAUGGCACUGACGUUCAUGCCCGAAAGCGUGGGUAGCAAACAGGAUUAGAUACCCUGGUAGUCCACGCCCUAAACGAUGUCGAUUGGCUGUUGGGCAACUUGAUUGCUUGGUAGCGAAGCUAACGCGUGAAAUCGACCGCCUGGGGAGUACGGUCGCAAGAUUAAAACUCAAAGGAAUUGACGGGGACCCGCACAAGCGGUGGAUGAUGUGGAUUAAUUCGAUGCAACGCGAAGAACCUUACCUGGUCUUGACAU
rnacentral:rRNA from 1 species